CUCAGGUACUUCACUACGCUGACAGCACGAAGAUCCCACGGACUCAAACAGACAGCGUGUAUUUUUUAGACACUUAAAAAUAAAUAUAUUUCAAGGUGCUUCUCGUGUGUUCCGAUGCCAGUGUUUAAGUCUGUGUCGUUUUAAUUUGAAAAUUCUUUGGUUGAGUUUUUGUGACAGUUGUACCUGUCCCGUUAGGUGUUGAAGGAAAGAACGCACGCACAGAGGAAACGUUCCUCCAAACUUUUCUUGAGGAAAAACGAGAGUGCAAACGCGCUUAGAUAAGGGUCCUUGGCUGUCAGUGGGAUGAUAGUGAGGUGGAGUGGUGUCUGGAUUGAAGGAGCAUGGUGAAGCACCAACCCUUACAGGUCUAUGAGAGACAGCUGUGUUUAUCAUGUCUGACAGGGAUCUAUGGAUGCCGCUGGAAACGCUACCAGCGGUCACAUGAUGACACCACCAAGUGGGAGUGUUUGUGGUCAUUCAUUCUCUUCUGCACUUUUUCCUUGCUACUGGUGUGGUUUUACUUCUGGUUGGAGGCCCACAAUGACUACAGCGAGUUUAACUGGUUUUUAUAUAACCGCUCAGGGGAGUGGAGCGAUGGUACCAUUCCCAUAUUUGCCACCACAGCUGCAGGCUUCACCUACAUUGCAUUUUUAAUGAUUUUAGCCCUGUGCCAUGUCGCUGUUGGACAGCAGUUAAACCUACACUGGCUCCACAAGAUUGGUGUGACAUUUGCUUUGCUCACUACAAUAAUUGCCGUGAUAUCUGUCACUCAGAUGUGGGGAGAGGAAUGGGAUGUAGUGUGGAUUUCUUUGCAGGUUACAGGUCCUUUCCUACACAUCGGUGCUUUAGCUGCGGUCACCGCUCUGGCCUGGGUGAUAGCUGGACAGGUGGCGCGAGUGGAGAAAACAAGGUUCCAGGUGAUGGUGCUCCUGGUCUAUCUGAGUGUUCUCCUCACACUCUACUUCAUUCCGCUGUCAAUCACCUCCCCAUGCAUCAUUGAGCGUGGGAGACUCAAAGCGGCCCCUACCAUCAUUGGUCAUCAAGGAGCUCCAAUGCUGGCUCCAGAGAACACACUACUUUCCUUCCACAGAGCUCUGCAGAGGAAUGUCAGUGGGUUGGAGGUGGAUGUGGCCAUCAGUCUAGAUGGUGUGCCCUUCCUCAUGAAAGACCGGACGUUAAGAAGAACUACAGAUGUGAAGAAAGUGUUUCCAGAGAGACAGUAUGAUGAUGCCUCACUCUUCAAUUGGACUGAUCUGCGUUCGCUUAACGCUGGGCAAUGGUUUCUUAAGGAUGAUCCAUUCUGCACAGUGCAGUACAUGUCGAUGUCAGAGCGCUGGUUGGUGGGGAACCAGACAGUGUGCAGCCUGGAACAGAUGCUGAAACUAGCGUCUCGGUCCAAGAGCUCGGCUGUGUUCAGAAUGCGCAGACCGCCAGCCGGUCACCCACACCACCUUGACUGGGUCAACCUCACCCUGGACACUGUUCUGAGGUCAGGCAUACCACAGCGGCAGGUGAUGUGGACUGCAGACAGUGACAGGGAAAUGGUGAAGCAAGUGGCUCCUGGUUUACAGCAGACGUCUGUACAGAAGCUUCCCCUGGACACUCUUCAUCAUAAAGGCAUCAGCAGAGUCCUGCUGCGCUAUAAUCAGGCAUCUGCGCAGGACGUGCGGCUGUAUAAUGAAAACAACAUCAGUGUGACUAUGUAUAUAGUGAACGAGCCGUGGCUGUAUUCUCUGCUGUGGUGCAGCGGGGUGCCGUCUGUCUCUUCUGAGGCCCCGCAGUUGUUGAGGAAGUUGCACUCGCCCCUCUGGCUCAUGAGUCCAGAUGAAUACAGUUUGAUAUGGAUCUCCACUGAUCUCAUCUCUUUUGCUGUAGUACUGGGAAUAUUUAUAUUCCAGAACUAUCACAUAAUCAGGUGGAGAAUGAGUGGGAUGCGUAGCUACAACCCUGAGCAGAUCAUGCUGAGCGCAGCUGUCAGGAGAUCCAGCCGAGAUGUCAACAUCAUGAAGGAGAAGCUCAUCUUCUCUGGUCAGCCACUGUAGCUGUUCACCCCGUGGGUUUGAGUCUUCUACUGUCACCCCAUCUAAGGUUGCAUCCCUCCAUCCCAUUCAAUCUCAUUCCCACCUCUCUCCUGCCUGUCUCUCACUGUCUACCACCAUCCCGUCUACUCCUCCAUUCAUCCAUCCAUCAAUCCAUUCUCGACUGACAUCCCUCAACUUGAAUGAUAGCUCAUGCAGGGCUGUAGCAUCAGUGGCCAGGGUUACUGUGACCUGCAUGUUAGGUGAGCAAUGGAGUCAGCAGUGAUGAACCAUAUAUGGAAAAUGGAUUUAACUUCUACACCAAUUAAGGCUUUCUCAUUGAACCCCAGGAGCAAAAAAACAUGAGACACAAUGGCUGACAAAUGUGUCUUGAUUUUAUGGAAAGAAAUCAAUUGCAUCCUGAACCAGUUUGUGAUGUAUCCUCUUUACUACUGACUCGAUUCUGUCUACUGUUGAUGAUGGACCCAUGUAUAGAAAAAUACAAUUAUUCUGCUGUUAAUUUGCUUGUACUUAAUUCUGGCCACUGAAGAGAAGUGUUCAGUUAUAGAGUAGGAAGUGCAGUUCUUCUGUUGACUAUUACCAAAUCUGUGGCCUCUGCCCCCACUAAACGCUUGAGGAUGCUGGAAUGCCCGUCACUUGCUUCGUAUUGCAAGCAUGCCUGUAAUAAUAUAGUGGGUUUUAUCUGUCGGUUUUUGGGGAUUGUAUUUUUUUCUAAUCAUCCAUAGCCAGCCAAUGCUGAGUAAUGCAUAUAUAUAUAUUUUAUUCUAUCUAGACCUUGAUUUGGUGUGAUAUUCACAGUCUAAUGAUGCCUUCUGUUCAAACUGUUGUGAAGUUUAAAGAACAGACAGGUGUUUACAGAGUGCCUGCAUUUAUCCUUCCAGUGAUAUUUACUGUAUACUGGUGUAUACCUAUACAUUUUUGCAUAUGGUUCAUUUGUUUGUCGUUUCGGGAGGAAAUCACCCAGCCUUACAGUCUUGGUCAGUUUGUUUGAUGCCAUUGCAGAUAACAUGGGGAAUUUUGGCACAUAUUCUGCUACAAACAAGUAAUAUUAGAACUUAAGUUUGACAAAAUCUCAAAAGUAGGCUGAAAUGGAAGGGGGAAAAUGAUUAUCAAAAAAGGGUCUGUUAAAAUAAGUUAGCUUAGAUUCUGUAGUUUACACUGUGUAGAAGGAAGCUGACUGGAGUUUCAAUGCAGUGCAGUAUUACUCAUAAGUAACACUGUCCUAGAAUAAAGUGUUUCAAUAUUGUUUUUUCUAUUUAUUUUUAAACGAUUGCAUUGUCAAUUUAGUCUCUCCUCUCAACCCUCUUCUUUAUUAAACAGAAUUUUAUGUUAUAAACACUUAGUACGGGGCUUCCCGUUGGGUGAGGUCAUGACCCCUGAAUUAAUAUAUGGUAAAUGUCACCUCUCACAUUGUUUACAGUUGAUGGGGGCUGAAUGAUUGUGCUGUUUGAUGUUUUUAUUUUGUAUUGAUGUGUUUGAGGUCAAUCAAUAAAAAAAAA